CACAUCCUCGUUGCAUCAUGGCGACGCCAGGGAAAAAAGCUCCGACUCAAAGUCCAGAACCUGAAAAUGGUCUAUCUGUCGCGUAUCUUGUUGCUUACAAUGUGUUGCAGAUGAUAGGAUGGACACUCUUAAUGUUUAAAUUAGUCUAUCACAUGGCCUUCGAACAAACUGUUGCUGGAUUGUAUGACGAAGUCGCAACUUUCCUGAAUAUUUUUCAAACGGCAGCAAUUUUAGAGAUUCUUCACUGUGCUCUGGGGUUGGUGCGGUCCAAUGUGGUGCUUACAGCCUUCCAGGUGUUCUCCAGAGUUUUUCUCACCUGGGCAAUUACCUACAGUGUUCCAUCGUCUCAAAGUUCCUAUGGGGUCCUGUUGUUUGUAACUGCUUGGACAAUCACGGAAAUCAUCCGAUAUUCAUUCUACUUUUUUACACUACUUGGAGGUGUCCCAUAUCUUAUUGUAUGGUGUCGGUAAGUCUAGAAGUUGUAUGCUGAUAUACAUGUAUGUACAGGUAUUACGGAUACAUGCAGUUGAUUACUCAUUCAGAGUUUGCAGGUGUACAGUCCUAUCUAUGUAAUAGUUAGAUCAUAUCUUAUUUGCGUAAAUUUUACUUAAUAUAAUCUAACUUACUUAGAACAUAACCCACUUUUUCAUUGGCUGAUCAAACGUUCUGCACCAAUUAGACAUUAUCUCUAUUUUGUUUACGACUCUCUUAGCUGUCAAUCGAAAUGUGACUUCGCCUUGAAUUUAGAGAAAUUCUUAACGAUUAAAAACAUCACUUAAUAGAAUAUUUAGCAACUGCUGAUUGGAUGAAAAAGUGGGUUAUGUUCUAAGUUUGGGUUCAAGGGGGUUUAAAUGAACUAAACUGCUCAAGCAGUUCCUUUAUUUUCAAAUACAGCUAUGGAAUGGAUUGCCUUUAAAUGUAUAUUUACUCAUGAGAAAAUGCCAAAAAAAAAUGUUUCUUUGCAAUUCUGCUCCUAACCCCACUCGUACAGUACACAUGCAUACACUCAGGCCAAAAUGAAAUUUUGUUUGUUUAGAAUUGCCUCCUGCCUUAUUGAAUUAUCCCCUGCUGAUAAAAUUUUAUGUGGAGAUUUUUAUUUGUUUUACCAAAAAAAUUCCCUCCCUCCCUACUGGGCCUAGAAACCUCUAGGCAGCAAUUUCAAACAAACAUUUUUUUUAAGGUUGGCCUCAUGCUUCCAUUACCCCCUUUGUGACUAUGUUUGUUUUUAUGUCUCAUUCUUAUCAAUAAAACUUGAACAUGUAAGCUCAAUCAGAUUCUAUUGAAAUGUAAAUUUUUUAUUUCAGGUACACCUUCUUCAUUGUCCUGUAUCCCAUAGGAGUAACAGGAGAACUUAUAACUGUCUAUAGCAGUCUUAAAGAAGUCCAUGACAAGAAACUGUAUUACCUUCAACUGCCAAAUGCAGCCAACAUUGCAUUUAACUACUUCUAUUUCCUUGUCUUCUUUAUGAUCAUGUAUAUUCCAGUUUUCCCCCAACUCUACACUCAUAUGCUGGGACAGAGAAGGAAAGUGUUGGGAAAGAUUGAUAAACCCAAGACUCAGUGAACAUGGUGGGAAAUCCAGUGAUUUUAAAUAAAUGCUUUUAUAAAGUGAGGACUGAAUGCACCAUUGAAUAAAUGGAAAAGUAAACAACCUG
rnacentral:misc_RNA from 1 species